rnacentral:siRNA from 1 species
UUAAGGUACACAUAAAACGCG